AGACUUUGCUAUUCAUUUUAGUAGGUGCAUGGUUAGAGUCUUAGGAGAGCACCUGGAAAAAUUAUAAUUAUUCAUUAACUAUGAUCUGCAAAUAUGUAUGUAAAAUAAAAGGCCAGACAAAAGUCCCAGUGUUUUCAGAGAAAUUUUACUAUCAAAAUGGGACUACCAGCAAUGGAAAAGAGUGAUGUAGGUAGUACAGGACAAUAGCAAUGGCAUAAAAGUUAACAGAGAAAAACUUUUAGUAGCAGAUUGUUUCAGCAUGGAUGCAGAGAUUGCUUAAGGAAGAUGACAGAAUCUCUGUCAUUUAGAAAACUUUAAACUUGAGUGGCCAAAGCACGACUCACAUUCUGAGAUUUUGCACUGAUGCAUCAGCUUGCAGUCCUGCAGGAAGAAAUAUCUUCACUGGAAGUUGUGAUAAACCUGAACAUGAACAGUGAGUAGAGAAAAAGGUUUUCCUGUGAGAAGCAAGAUAUGAGUGGCCAUGGACCUCAGCACUUCUGAGCCAUUGCUCCUGUUUGAAAUAAGCAGCAUGCC